AGAAUCAACGCUGGCGGCGUGCCUAACACAUGCAAGUCGAACGAGAAAGUGGAGCAAUCCAUGAGUAAAGUGGCGACCGGGUGAGUAACACGUGACUAACCUACCUUCGAGUGGGGGAUAACCUCGGGAAACCGAGGCUAAUACCGCAUAACAUCGUGAGAUCAAAGCAGUAAUGCGCUGGAAGAGGGGUCGCGGCUGAUUAGCUAGUUGGCGGGUAAUGGCCCACCAAGGCGAAGAUCGGUAGCC
rnacentral:rRNA from 1 species